rnacentral:piRNA from 1 species
AUACUGUACAUGGCAAUUAGAAG